rnacentral:rRNA from 1 species
AAGCCGUGUGUUCGAGAGGGAAACAGCCCUGACCGCCUGCUAAGGUCCCUAAAUUCGUGCUAAGUGGCAAAGGAUGUGCGUUUGCCUAGACAACCAGGAUGUUGGCUUAGAAGCAGCCAUGCAUUUAAAGAGUGCGUAACAGCUCACUGGUCAAGUGGACAUGCGCCGACAAUACACGGGGCUAAGUACGAUACCGAAGCAGCGGACUGAUUUAUCAGUGGUAGGGGAGCUUUCUUAUCUGGGUUGAAGCGAAGUGGUAACGCUUCGUGGACUGAUAAGAAGUGAGAAUGCUGGCAUGAGUAACGAGAGAGGAGCGAGAAACUCCUCCGCCGUAAACCUAAGGGUUCCUGGGCAAGGCUAAUCCUCCCAGGGUCAGUCGGGAGCUAAGGCGAGGCAGACAUGCGUAGCCGAUGCACAACAGGUUGAUAUUCCUGUACCACCACGUAUUCGUUAUGACGAUGGGGUGACGGAGAAGGGUAGCCGGGCGGGGUUCUGGACGUCCCCGUGAAAGCGUGUAGGGUGAUAAGUAGGCAAAUCCGCUUGUCAUAUACCUGAGACGUUAGACGAAGCUCAAAGUGAAGUCGGUAAGCCCAUGCUUCCAAGAAAAACCUCUAAGCAGAAUGCGAGGUGCCCGUACCAAAACCGACACAGGUAGGUGGGUAGAGCAUACCAAGGCGAUCGGGAGAACCAUGGUUAAGGAACUCGGCAUAAUGACUCCGUAACUUCGGGAGAAGGAGUGCCCUUGUUGGUGACUAAACUUGCUUUACGAGCUGAUGAGGGUCGCAGCGAAACGGCCCAAGCGACUGUUUAUCAAAAACACAGGACUCUGCUAAGUCGCAAGACGACGUAUAGGGUCUGACGCCUGCCCGGUGCUGGAAGGUUACGUGGAUGUGUUAGCAUCUCGCGAAGCACUGAAACUAAGCCCCAGUAAACGGCGGCCGUAACUAUAACGGUCCUAAGGUAGCGAAAUUCCUUGUCGGGUAAGUUCCGACCUGCACGAAUGGCGUAACGAUUUGGGCGCUGUCUCGACCAUGGACCCGGUGAAAUUGUAUUAUUCGUGAAGAUGCGAAUUACCUGCGGAAGGACGGAAAGACCCCGUGAACCUUUACUGCAGCUUGGCAUUGGCUGUUGGCACGUCGUGUAGAGGAUAGGUGGGAGACUGUGAAGCAGAAACGCCAGUUUCUGUGGAGUCACCCUUGGAAUACCACCCUCGGCUUGCUGGCAGCCUAACGUGUGACCGUUAUCCGGCACACGGACCGUGCCAGGUGGGUAGUUUGACUGGGGCGGUCGCCUCCUAAAUGGUAACGGAGGCGUGCGUAAGGUUCGCUCAGGAUGGUUGGCAAUCAUCCGUAGAGCACAAGAGUAUAAGCGAGCUUGACUGCGAGACCUACAAGUCGAGCAGAGACGAAAGUCGGUUCUAGUGAUCCGGCGGCCCAGCGUGGAAUGGCCGUCGCUCAACGGAUAAAAGGUACUCCGGGGAUAACAGGCUGAUCUUGCCCAAGAGUCCACAUCGACGGCAAGGUUUGGCACCUCGAUG